rnacentral:rRNA from 1 species
GAAAUGCGAUACGUAAUGUGAAUUGCAGAAUUCCGUGAAUCAUUGAAUCUUUGAACGCACCUUGCGCCCUUUGGUAUUCCGAAGGGCAUGCCUGUUUGAGUGUCAUUGAACCCUCUCAACUUGAUCUUCAGGUUGGAUUUGGAGAGUGCCGGCACGUUCGGCUCCUCUGAAAAGCAUUAGCGAGCGACCAUUGCGUGUCUGCUUUGGCAUUGAUAAUCUGUCUAUGCCCUGGCGACGCUCGGCGGGUUUGCUUACAACCGGUCCCUUUCUGAGGGACGACGUUCACCCAACAAUCACCUCAAAUCAGGUAGGACUACCCGCUGAACUUAA